GGGUUGUGUCUCAGUGGCAGAGCACUCGUGUCACACCUGGGAGGCACUGGGUUCGAUCCUCAGUAGCACA
rnacentral:tRNA from 1 species